rnacentral:rRNA from 1 species
UACGGAGGGGGCUAGCGUUGUUCGGAAUUACUGGGCGUAAAGCGCACGUAGGUGGCUUUGUAAGUUAGAGGUGAAAGCCCGGGGCUCAACUCCGGAAUUGCCUUUAAGACUGCAUCGCUAGAACGUCGGAGAGGUAAGUGGAAUUCCGAGUGUAGAGGUGAAAUUCGUAGAUAUUCGGAAGAACACCAGUGGCGAAGGCGACAUACUGGACGACUGUUGACACUGAGGUGCGAAAGCGUGGGGAGCAAACAGG